rnacentral:lncRNA from 1 species
CUGAUUUCAGACCGUGCUGUGGGUCAGCUGGGAUUAAAUCUUCCACCACAGGGCAUUUGCUGAGCCAUAAGCAGAUCAAUCCUUUCUCCCUUCAUUAGUCUGAAACCAGAGCUUUUUCAGUUUUAUUCAUGCAGACUUUUCAACCAAGGUCUUUGCGCUAUUGUUUACAUAUGUAUCUCACACACACACACACACACACACACACAGAUUUUUAUGCUGUUAAGAGGGGAGAGAUAGGAUAAAUAUUUUUUUCUCUUGUUUCUUGACAAAUUAGUAUGAGGAAAAUGAUGUGGCACUAAAGAAGAACAGAAAAAAGUGAAGAGACAGGACCAGGAGUGGAGGAGGGGAGAAAGUACUGGGAAGAGAGCUGCAGAAAGAAGACUUGAUGGGGCACAGAGUUCCUGAUAAAAGCGGACUGCAAUCAUGGUUUCUUCAGAUGCACACUUAAGGAAAACUUCUCAACUCUUCUCCAAGAAUCCCCUGCCUCCAUCCCUAGAGAAUCAUGGCUUCAAAAUGAAACAUAAAACAAAGUUUUGAGCUGACUUUGGUCGAAAUCUCAAAUACUAUAAACUGUACAGUACUGUCUGCAGGUGGACCACAUUGUAGGGGAAAUAACGUGAUUCAAGCCAGCCACCUGCCCCUGCUUUCCAGGAUUCUACCACUCAGCUCUGAUCAAGCUAGCAUCCCUCCUCCUGUCACCAGCAAAGCCCAUGAAACAUUUCCAAGAAUUAAAAAUAGAAUCUGGGUAAUAAAAUAAAAGUCUAACCUUUUUUUCCUUUGUGCUUGGACAAAGGAAAUAGUUUCAUUUGCUCAUAGUGGGGCAUGUGCAGAGGCCUCACACUGGCCAUUCAGACCAGUUCCUAGAGCAAAAUGGCCAUG